GAUGAACGCUGGCGGCGUGCCUAAUACAUGCAAGUCGAGCGAACGGACGAGAAGCUUGCUUCUCUGAUGUUAGCGGCGAACGGGUGAGUAACACGUGGAUAACCUACCUAUAAGACUGGGAUAACUUCGGGAAACCGUAGCUAAUACCGGAUAAUAUUUUGAACCGCAUGGUUCAAAAGUGAAAGACGGUCUUGCUGUCACUUAUAGAUGGAUCCGCGCUGCAUUAGCUAGUUGGUAAGGUAACGGCUUACCAAGGCAACGAUGCAUAGCCGACCUGAGAGGGUGAUCGACCACACUGGAACUGAGACACGGUCCAGACUCCUACAGGAGGCAGCAGUAGGGAAUCUUCCGAAAUGGGCGAAAGCCUGACGGAGCAACGCCGCGUGAGUGAUGAAGGUCUUCGGAUCGUAAAACUCUGUUAUUAGGGAAGAACAUAUGUGUAAGUAACUGUGCACAUCUUGACGGUACCUAAUCAGAAAGCCACGGCUAACUACGUG
rnacentral:rRNA from 1 species